AUGAACGUUAUCAUUUCGUUAACUCCCAAACAUCUUUCCCUCGCCCUUUGCCACUCAACUGUCUGCUCUCUCCGCCCUCUUUUUUUUUUUUUCUUUCAACAUUCUCCUCUAGAGGGCAAGCAAGCUCUACGUUCUGUUGCCAUACUUCCGUUCGCCUUCAUAUUUUUCUUGCGCGCAUGUGCACACUUCAUUUCCGGGCUGCCCUACUUUGUUUGGCACCACGCCUGCGCAAUCUCAGCCCCGCCCCCUCCACCCCGGAAAUGCUUCCUUCCUACGCAGCCGCUACAGCCACUGCAGCCGGUGGACCUUUGCCUCUCUAGGCCGGUAGGGCCUCUCCUCCAUGGUCCUGACUGUCAGCACCGUUUCGGUAGCCAGUCGGUGCGGCUGGGCCGCGCUCGGACGCUUCGGAUCCUCGAGACCGUAACCGGUGCAGGGGCGGCCCGGGGCCCAUGGCGCGGCGACGGCGCUGACCCGGGCCUGGGCGGCGGCCGGGCCCCGGGGGCCGGCAUGGCGGGCCAGUUCCGCAGCUACGUGUGGGACCCGUUGCUGAUCCUGUCGCAGAUCGUCCUCAUGCAGACCGUCUAUUACGGCUCACUGGGCCUGUGGCUGGCGCUGGUGGACGGGCUGGUGCACAGCAGCCCCUCGCUGGACCAGGUGUUCGACGCUGAGAUCCUGGGCUUUUCCACCCCACCAGGCCGGCUCUCCACGAUGUCCUUCGUCCUCAACGCCCUCACCUGUGCCCUGGGCUUGCUGUACUUCAUCCGGCGAGGGAAGCAGUGUCUGGAUUUCACGGUCACUGUCCAUUUCUUUCACCUCCUGGGCUGCUGGCUCUACAGCUCCCGUUUCCCCUCGGCGCUGACCUGGUGGCUGGUCCAGGCCGUGUGCAUUGCGCUCAUGGCUGUCAUCGGGGAGUACCUAUGCAUGCGGUCGGAGCUCAAGGAGAUCCCCCUCAACUCAGCCCCGAAGUCCAGUGUGUAGUGUUGGGUCCUUUGGACACCCUGCUGGGCACUUGACCACCCCUCCAACCCCUUGGGCUGCUCGGACCGCCAGAUGAGGUCCAGCCCAGGCCUGAGAGGAACCUGGGAAAUG
rnacentral:lncRNA from 1 species